UACGUAGGGUGCAAGCGUUGUCCGGAAUUAUUGGGCGUAAAGAGCUCGUAGGCGGUUUGUCGCGUCUGCUGUGAAAACCCGAGGCUUAACCUCGGGCCUGCAGUGGGUACGGGCAGACUAGAGUGCGGUAGGGGAGAUUGGAAUUCCUGGUGUAGCGGUGAAAUGCGCAGAUAUCAGGAGGAACACCGGUGGCGAAGGCGGGUCUCUGGGCCGAUACUGACGCUGAGGAGCGAAAGCGUGGGGAGCGAACAGG
rnacentral:rRNA from 1 species